rnacentral:tRNA from 1 species
GUUUCCAUAGUUAAGGUAUAUAACGAUGGUUUUUCAGGCCAUAGAUCUUGGGUUAAUUCCAAGUGGGA